GGUACAGGAUGGACCCGCGUCUGAUUAGCUAGUUGGUAGGGUAAAGGCCUACCAAGGCGACGAUCCGUAGCUGGUUUGAGAGGACGGCCAGCCACACUGGGACUGAGACACGGCCCAGACUCCUACGGGAGGCAGCAGUGGGGAAUUUUGGACAAUGGGGGCAACCCUGAUCCAGCAACGCCGCGUGAGGGACGACGGCCUUCGGGUUGUAAACCUCUUUUAGCAAGGAAGAAGCGAAAGUGACGGUACUUGCAGAAAAAGCGCCGGCUAACUACGUGCCAGCAGCCGCGGUAAUACGUAGGGCGCAAGCGUUAUCCGGAAUUAUUGGGCGUAAAGAGCUCGUAGGCGGUUUGUCGCGUCUGCUGUGAAAUCCCGAGGCUCAACCUCGGGUCUGCAGUGGGUACGGGCAGACUAGAGUGCGGUAGGGGAGAUUGGAAUUCCUGGUGUAGCGGUGGAAUGCGCAGAUAUCAGGAGGAACACUGAUGGCGAAGGCAGAUCUCUGGGCCGUAACUCACGCUGAGGAGCGAAAGGGUGGGGAGCAAACAGGCUUAGAUACCCUGGUAGUCCACCCCGUAAACGUUGGGAACUAGUUGUGGGGUCCAUUCCACGGAUUCCGUGACGCAGCUAACGCAUUAAGUUCCCCGCCUGGGGAGUACGGCCGCAGGGCUAAAACUCAAAUGAAUUGACGG
rnacentral:rRNA from 1 species